AGGGAAUAUUGGGCAAUGGGCGAGAGCCUGACCCAGCCAUGCCGCGUGCAGGAAGAAGGCUUUCUGAGUCGUAAACUGCUUUUGACAGGGAAGAAUAAGGACUACGUGUAGUCUGAUGACGGUACCUGCAGAAUAAGCACCGGCUAACUCCGUGCCAGCAGCCGCGGUAAUACGGAGGGUGCGAGCGUUGUCCGGAUUUAUUGGGUUUAAAGGGUGCGUAGGCGGCCGUUUAAGUCCGGGGUGAAAGCCCGCUGCUCAACAGCGGAACUGCCCUGGAUACUGGAUGGCUUGAGUACAGACGAGGUUGGCGGAAUGGACAGAGUAGCGGUGAAAUGCAUAGAUACUGUCCAGAACCCCGAUUGCGAAGGCAGCUGACUAGGCUGUUACUGACGCUGAGGCACGAAAGCGUGGGGAGCGAAC
rnacentral:rRNA from 1 species